CAUGGGGACUAACAGGUCCCGUAGCGAAAACCAAAGCCAUGUGCACAAUAUGCAAAGCUCAGGUCAAGUAGGUACACAGGUUGAAAUUAAAGUUGAAUGUUACCCUUCCCUUAUCCUCUUUUUCUUUCUGUACCCAGAUGCAUGAUAUUGAUAUGUAAGAGAUAUAGGCUAUGACAGCUCACCAAUUUAGAGAUCACAGGUGACCAAUGUUCCAUGUCGAAAAUGCUUCAGGCAAGCUGUCACACAAGCAAAGGUAUAACACAACACCGAUGUAAAGCAAAAGUUAGCGUUGUAUUAAUGAACGUGUUAUGUUGCAAACUGG